rnacentral:lncRNA from 1 species
AUCUUGCCUCACUGCAACCUCUGCCUCCCGGGUUCAAGCAAUUCUCCUGCCUCAGCCUCCCGAGUAGCUGAGACUACAGGCAUGCACCACCAUGCCCAGCUAAUUUUUGUAUUUACUUUAGUAGAGACGGGGUUUCACCAUGUUGACCAGGCUGGUCUCGAACUCCUGGCCUCAGGUGAUCUGCCCGCCUCGUCCUCCCAAAGUGCUGGGAUUACAGGCGUGAGCCACCGUGCCUGGCCCUUGUAGGUGCUCUAAGAUGAAGAAUUCCAAACUGCUAACCGUCAGCACACGUCGUUCAUAAGAAAGCACAGCAGAGGAUGCCAUCCAGAGUCCAGGAUGAAGCCAAGAGGGAGCCUCUGGAGCCGGGACAACAGAAAAUUUAUAUAAACUGCAACCUCAAUACUUUGAAGACAGUAGCACGAGGAAUGAAUUAGUGCUGAAGACAGCAUCGAAUCAUGUCUCAGAAAGAUUAAAACUGGUAUCAGAUGGCCGAAUAGGAACAGCUCCAGUCUACAGCUCCCAGCGUGAGCGACGCAGAAGACGGGUGAUUUCUGCAUUUCCAACUGAGGUGAAGAGACAUGACAUGAGACAGGAAUGAAGAGCACUGGAAAUAAACGUGUGAGUAAAUAUAAAAGACAAUUUUUUCCUCUUAUUUCUUUAAAAUACUAAAGAAUUUUAAAAGAAAAUAUGAAAAAUUUUGUGUGGGGUUUAUAACAUAUAAAUGUAAUCUGCAUAAAAAUUGUAACAUAAAGCACCAGAUAGUUGACAAACGGACCUAGAUAAUUGCAGGAAUCAUAUGCAAGGGUUUAUAUGAAUUGGUAUAUUUACUCUAACUGGACUGUGAAAAUUUAAGGAUGCAUAUUAUAUUCCCUAGAGCAA